rnacentral:rRNA from 1 species
CGGACGGGUGAGUAACACGUAGAGAACCUACCUUACACAGGGGGACAACGGCUGGAAACGGCUGCCAAUACCGCAUAAGCACCCAGUUUCGCAUGAAACAGAGUGAAAAGAGUAAAUCGGUGUAAGAUGGCUCUGCGUCUGAUUAGCUAGUUGGUGGGGUAAAGGCUCACCAAGGCGACGAUCAGUAGCCGGCCUGAGAGGGCGACCGGCCACAUUGGGACUGAGACACGGCCCAGACUCCUACGGAAGGCAGCAG